rnacentral:rRNA from 1 species
UCGGGAAUUUUGGGCAAUGGGCGAAAGCCUGACCCAGCAACGCCGCGUGAAGGAUGAAGUAUUUCGGUAUGUAAACUUCGAAAGAAUAGGAAGAAUAAAUGACGGUACUAUUUAUAAGGUCCGGCUAACUACGUGCCAGCAGCCGCGGUAAUACGUAGGGACCAAGCGUUGUUCGGAUUUACUGGGCGUAAAGGGCGCGUAGGCGGCAAUUCAAGUCAUCUGUGAAAUCUCCGGGCUUAACUCGGAACGGUCAGAUGAUACUGCUUUGCUAGAGUGCAGAAGGGGCAAUCGGAAUUCUUGGUGUAGCGGUGAAAUGCGUAGAUAUCAAGAGGAACACCUGAGGUGAAGACGGGUUGCUGGGCUGACACUGACGCUGAGGCGCGAAAGCCAGGGGGAGCAAACGGG